ensembl:lncRNA LOC120096312 uncharacterized LOC120096312
CACCAGGGCCUUUCAUCAAAAGCAGGGCCCUGGCACAUCCCUCUGGAGCAGUCUCUGAUGAGUGCUACUGACUUAUCUCCGAGUCACUAUUAGUGACAUUCAGGGCAGGAUGACCUUCCUGUUCGGGGCUGUGCCCAGGUCUCAUCUGCAGGACUCGCCAGCAGCAGGUGUAUUUCAUCUCCUGGCUCCAAGGUACACUCAGAAAUGAUGAACUGAAUGUAUGAGCACUCUGUAACCUUGCCAAGUUGACAUGAAAUCAUCAUAAGAGCCCAUCUGUGAGAGAGCCCUAAGGGACCCUGGAGGAGAGUACCAGCUAACUGGAGUCUAUGUAUAAACUUACAUUCUGGUUAAGGUGAGUUCUGCUCCCCUCCCCAGUGCUCUUGUUUCUCCUUCUUUCGACAUGGAAGAAAUGUGAUGCUGGAGUGUUUGUGGUUAGCCAUGUUUUGUGAGUAAGAGAAUAAGUGCUGUAUCGUGUUUGAGAAGGGCACAACGACUAGAAAUUCCAG